UACGAAGGGGGCUAGCGUUGCUCGGAAUUACUGGGCGUAAAGCGCACGUAGGCGGCUUUCUAAGUCGGGGGUGAAAUCCUGGAGCUCAACUCCAGAACUGCCUUCGAUACUGGAGAGCUCGAGUCCGGGAGAGGUGAGUGGAAUUCCUAGUGUAGAGGUGAAAUUCGUAGAUAUUAGGAAGAACACCAGUGGCGAAGGCGGCUCACUGGCCCGGUACUGACGCUGAGGCGCGAAAGCGUGGGGAGCAAACAGGG
rnacentral:rRNA from 1 species